rnacentral:ncRNA from 1 species
CUCUCGCUCGAUGCAGCCCGGACGAGACGCGCCGUACCCGGUGAAGCCAAGACGACGCACC